ACUCAACAUUUACUAUUUAAAAAGGGUGAGUUUCAGUUGCUAAAGCAAGCCGCCACUUCGGUGCAGCGGAUCCUUGAUCAGCUGGGUAUCCCUAAACCUGUUUACACGGAGUUU
rnacentral:sRNA from 22 species